rnacentral:rRNA from 1 species
AUUGAACGCUGGCGGUAUGCUUAACACGUGCAAGUCGAACGGCAGCAUGGUCUAGCUUGCUAGACUGAUGGCGAGUAGCGGACGGGUGAGUAACGCGUAGGAAUAUGCCUUGAAGAGUGGGACAACUUGGGGAAACUCAAGCUAAUACCGCAUGUACUCGAGAGAGUAAAGCUGGGGACCUUUAGGCCUGGCGCUUUAAGAUUAGCCUGCGUCCGAUUAGCUAGUUGGUAGGGUAAAGGCCUACCAAGGGGGCGAUCGGUAGCUGGUCUGAGAGGAUGAUCAGCCACACUGGAACUGAGAGACGGUCCAGACUACUACGGGAGGCAGCAGUGGGGAAUAUUGGACAAGGGGGGGAACCCUGAUCCAGCAAUGCCGCGUGUGUGAAGAAGGCCUGAGGGUUGUAAAGCACUUUCAGUGGGGAGGAGGUUUGGAAGGUUAAGAGCUAUUCAAAUGGACGUUACCCACAGAAGAAGCACCGGCUAACUCCGUGCCAGCAGCCGCCGUAA